rnacentral:rRNA from 1 species
UACAGAGGUGGCAAGCGUUGUUCGGAAUUACUGGGCGUAAAGGGCGCGUAGGCGGCCUUCUAAGUCAGACGUGAAAUCCCCCGGCUUAACCUGGGAACUGCGUCUGAUACUGGAUGGCUUGAAUCCGGGAGAGGGAUGCAGAAUUCCAGGUGUAGCGGUGAAAUGCGUAGAUAUCUGGAGGAACACCGGUGGCGAAGGCGGCAUCCUGGACCGACACUGACGCUGAGGAGCGAAAGCCAGGGGAGCAAACGGG